rnacentral:lncRNA from 13 species
AUGCGCCCCACAGGGCAUUUGUCCCUUAGGGGUCAUCGCGCCACGCACCGGCCACCGCAGCCGGCCCAAGGAUGCUCGGAGGGGGCAGCAGGAGCCAGAAUCACGAGCGGCUCUGCCCUGACUUUGCUCCAUCAGCCAUUGCCAGGGCUGGGCUGCCUCUCCCCUCCACCUUCCUUCCCCUCGGCUGCAUCUCAGUCCAUCCCAGCGCCGUUAUCCCGGCUCGCUGCGCCGAAAAUGGGGAGCGGAGCCGGCCCUGCUCUUUGUUCGAGCUACAACUGGGAAAAGCUCCAGGAUAUCCACCCGCACAGCCGGAGAUGCUCACAUAUUCAUUCAUACAGGCGGGGAAGCUCCGAAGUUCCUGCUUCAGGAGGGACACUGCUGCGAGGCAGGUCUUGGAAAGACACCCCCGCAUCCCGCUCCGAACCAUACCGCGGCUCAGCGCCGUGCCCCCAACCCCUCUUCAACCCUUAUAUCCCCUACAAUCCUCCAACUUCCACAGCCCACCCUGCCACACGCAUCACUCCCCCACCCCCCCAAUCUGCUCUCAAACGCAGGGCUGGCGCGGGACCGGGGGACCUGGAGGGGAGGCGAUGGUGGCGGGGGCAUCCCCUUCCCUUACCUCUCUCCACGCACAGCACCGCGGCCAGCACAGCGAGCAGGAGCGCCUUCAUGGUGCGGACGAUAUGGCCAGAGAGACGCGCAGGGCGGGCGGAGGAGCGCAGGCUGGCGGCAGGGCCGGGCGCCGGGGGUGGAGAAAGGGCGACGGCUCCGCCCCGCGGGCUGGGCCUGGCCCCCGCACCGCCUCCCCCCUCCACCUCCCUGGCCACGCCUAGUUUCUUUUCCCCGCUCGGGAGAACCGGGGCCGGGAUAGGGCGCCGAAUGUGUCGGCAUGGCAGCGGCUGGCCGACGGGGAACAGAGCCAGCUUUCCCCUAGCCGUGCCGCAAAAGGCUUUUUCCAGCCCCCUUUCGGGUCCCCUCUGUUUCCCUGAAGGAAGAGACCGGAGCAGGGGGCCUGCCUGUAUGCCGGACCCAACUCAUCCAAGCGCAAUCCUUCAAACUCAGCUUAUUCUGGGAUUCUGGGAUUCUCUGACUUCCUCUACCCACAUGACCUGCUGA